rfam:Drosophila ananassae strain TSC#14024-0371.13 Ctg01_17641, whole genome shotgun sequence.
ACCUUGCCAAUGCACGGGUUCCGAAUUAAGCUUGCUGCCGAAGCAUACCAUCAAAAUCGGCAUAAAAUUCGCUAUAUAAAGGAGGUGGUUUUAGUACGUAGGCGUCUCGGGACUUGUCUCGGGAUGAAUCGUGCAUGCGUAUCAUUGGGAUCGAUAAUAAAUAACAACAACAUCUGCUAAACAUAUCGAUAUAUAAAAUCCCCCGAUACGUAUCUUUGAAGAUUUCCCACCUACCUCGCUCGAUG